rnacentral:other from 1 species
GUUUCAAUCCCUUAGAGGUAGGCUAAAAAC